CUUAGUGGUUUUCCACGGCUUUCUUGAACUGUAUUGCAUGGUUUCUCAAUGCAACAUAAUUUCAAUUAGCGCAAUUCAAGAAGGUCGUGGAAAAUCACUGUGA
rnacentral:pre_miRNA from 1 species